GAUGAUUCAGAAACCCUUGAAGAUAUAGUCAUAUUUUCAGCAACAGAUGGAUUUAACACUGCAGAUGGAGUGUUAAGAGUGCAGUCCGUAGCCAUGGUGUGCCAUGAUGACUAUGGACUGAUCAGGCUUGUAAACAACAGCAUAAGCAUUCAAUACCUAAAUUUUAAGUGCCAUGAAAUACUGCCCCUGAAAAUGUAAUGAAAAACUGGAAUUCUCUCUGGAAAGUUGGCUCUCGCUUGGCGGUACGACAUCUUUAUCCUGGCUGAUGGAAAAAAAUAAAUCAGGUUACGUGGGCGAGCAAAGAGCCCCAGAGCUGCAGCAGGGAUUCCAGGCAGGGAUGGGUGUCUGGAGGGAUGACCAGCCAGGAUCACCUCUGUGCGAUGGAUGUUGAAGGUGUUGGCACAGAGGUGUUUUAAGUGGCUGCCCAGGCUCCAGCAUAUGGGGCGAUACAAAGGACAGGAGUCACGGUGGGUCAGUUUUCCCAGUUGGAUGCAAUCUGGAAAUCCAUCUCCUAUGUGCAUACUGGUAGGAUAAACUUUUCAUCUUUCUGGCAAUGUUUGAAUUUUCCUUCUCUUCCCUCCCCAUCUAUGAGAAUUAAUUGAAUCAUAAGUCAUUUAAUUUGUCGGGCUUCUUAGAUUUUAUUUAAACCCUAUGUUUUGUAAGUUGUUCUGCAUUUGCAGCAUGGAGUUACGUUGCUUGGGAGAGGUUCAGUCUCGCUGUUCACCAGCAGGACAGGACAUUUGGUACUUGUUUGUGAGGACCAAGCAGGUAAAGCAGUGCAUAUACACAUAAUAAUGUAACUUAAUACACAUUAAGCAGCUAGGUCUAGGUCUGUUAGAGAAGAUACUUGGGAGCGAUAGAUCCCCUUUAAUAAAUCAUCUCGUACUUUCCUCUAAAAGACUUAAACUCCGAGCUCAACCAAAGGGGAUCGAGCAAAGGGGUGUAACUUAAAUCACUGCGACCCAUGAAAGCUGCAGAGCCUCUGUUGUGUCCCCAGUGACAUCAGGGACCUCGACCUGUCCCUGUUUGCCCUGCAUCAUCUUGGGAUAUGCUGCUUGAUCUUUCCAGUUACUGCAAUGACUUUUUUCAUUUCUGAUUUGUGACAAAGCGCUUUUGGAUGAAAGUUGUAAUUCGAGCAAAAUCACAAACCGCCAGCUUUGUGAAGGUAUUUUAUUUGCUGACUCAAGCGGUGUGAAAUUUGCCUGAUGUAUCACAAAAUAAAGGUAAAUAUCUUGUAUUUUAAAACUUGAUAAAUUACUGCCAAAGGAAAAAUGCCCCAAGUUAAUCAAUCUGAUGGUUUUGUCACCGCUUUUCCCUCGAGGAUUUAGAAGUAGUGGAACACACUUUGACACCGGUCUGCUCUCAUCGUUUGGAAGAGAGAAAACAAACAUUCCUGCGUCUCAGCUCCUCAUCAGUGUCUGAACUCGAAUGAAUCAGCUAUUGAGCUGAAGGAAAUGAAAUAUAAAUUGACAUCAAGAAAAUGUUCUCCCUGCAGCUGCAGAAACAGCUAUAGUUGUCAAAAGCUGAUUUUUAUCCCUUCAAAGACCGGUAUUUUGUGUCACAUCAUCAUAUUCAAUAGCUGGCCUUUCUAUAAAAGUU